CUAGGUUAAUGCCCUCUUCCACUGUGUUCAGUCUUUUAAAGUCUCCUGUCAAAUGAGAUCAAAUGAGAAUAUGGAAGAACUUCAGAAACUAUUUUUUUUGCAAUGCACCGUUCAUCAGUAGAAUCACGUUGUCUAUCAUGUAACUGCACCUGGUGUAGAAGAGGGCUCAAUCGUUAGGAAAACCGUUGCAUGAGAAUAAGAAGCAUCCCUCAGGUAAAAAACAAAACAAGAAACCAAAAGAACCCCCCACAUUUCAGGCACACACGCUUUCAUUAAGGAAAUAUAUAUCUCCUUUUAUUUUAAACUCUGGGUUUUGAGAGAUGUAGGUGAGGUAAAAUAUCUGACUCUCAGAGGGUACCAUAGUUUGAAAAACCAUGUUCAGAGUUAUAAUACCUGAUUGGUGGGACCACACAGAAGAUGACCCUUACACAGUAAUUGCCAAAUGUGGUGGGUGGGGCAGAGAGUAGUGAGGGUGUUAAAUUGUUUGGUUUCUCAUAAUGGACUAUGGGCUUAAAAAGUUGAGAAACACAGACCUAAAGGGUUUCAUUCUACUUCAAAAACUAUUUAAAUCUUUGAUGAAUCCCAUCGUUGAGUAUUCAAAGUUUUAAAUAUUUAAAAAUACAUAAAAAUAUUUAUUAAUUUUAAUAUUAAAAUGUUUUAUGUAUUAAAAAUUAAAAUAUUCUGUUUUUUUUUUCCUCCUAUGAGAACAGAUAGUCAACUUUCUAGCCUUUUCCCCUCCCAGAACCCCAAGAGUCCAUAGGUUCACACUUUACGUGAUUUCUCUAUUUAAUAUAAGCUCUACCCAGGAUAUUCCAAGCAAUGAGGUCAAGAAGUAAGAGAGACAUAGUCGCUUCCUUCACAGAAAAUACAGUUUAAGGGAGGCACUGGUACAUUGCAAUGCAGCAUACAGGCUGCAUAAAGGAGAUUACAGGGUGGUGUGGGGAUUCAGAGCUGGGCACUAAACCAGUCCUGGAUCAGACUUCCUAGGGAGUGACAUUCAGGCUGCAACUUGCAGAAUGAGUAGGAGUUGUCCAGGCAAAAGCGGUGGCUGGGAAAGAGUGCUUCCAGGCAGAAGGGAGAGCAUGUGAAAAGCCCCAGAGACAAGAGGGCCAGGAACAAGGAUGUUCUUUUGCCUGCUGAGCACUGGAGGUGGGGCCCGGGCUGAACGUGCAGGGUCCUGAAAGACAAGAUGAGGAAUUUGGAUUGAGGGCAAUGGGCGAUGCUGAAUACUUCAAGGACAGGGGGAAUUAUGAUCUAUGUAGAUAGAAUAUGCAUUAAAACAGGAUAAGAGGUAAGCCAACACUGAUACAGUAAAGUGCUUUACAAAAGUUAUUUUAUUUAAUCAUGAUAAUUACACUGUGAUGAUGACAGGUACUAUUAUUACCUCCGUUUUACAGAUGAGGAACUGGAGGCCCAGACAGGUAAAAAUCUCACCCAUAACAACACAGCUAACAAAUGAAGAGGGCUGAGAAUCAAACUCAGACAAGUCUGCUUCUGAAACUUUUCUCUUAACGCUCAGAUUAUGCUGUGUUUAGUUGUCAAGGAUGACACAUAGGUUUCUAGGUUUAACAGUUAGAAGCUGGAGCCAUUUAUUGAGAUGAGAGCACUGGAGGAAGAACCGGUUGUAAUGGGAGCUGAUGUUUGGGACCGAAUGAGUUUAGAUGCCCAGGAGGAGAUGCCAAAUAGGCCUCGGACGUCUAAGUCCUGAAGAGACAGCUGUGGAGCAGAGACAUUUAGGGAGUGUGGGCAGGGGGUGCUAGUUUAAAGGUGGAAGCAGAUGUCUUGGGAAUGCUUGAGACCACAUUCUAGAGUGUAUGUCAAGAGUUCUGUCCUGAGAACUCUGGGGAACCCCAACAUUUAAGGACCUUGAUAGAACCUGAGAAGGAAUGACCAGAUGGUAGGAAGAAAACCAGGGAAGAGAAUUCUAGGAAGAAGAGGUUAAGGGCCACAGGAAAGUCAAGGUAGACAUUGAAGCACGGUGUUCUCAGGAUGCAGCCACUAAGAGGUCAUCUGGCACCACAAAACAUGUUCAGUGGAGUUGGCUUGUGGAAGGGAAAGGGGAGAAGCCAGAAACCUGACCGCUGUGUGUUUAAAAUGAGUGGGAAGUACAGAGGCUUUUGGUUUGUUUAAUUGUUCUGUUUUUUAAAAGAGUUUAAACUAUAAAGCAGGGGAAGGUAACUGUAUGGAGACCCGGGGGCCAGAGGAGCUUUGGACUUUCCGUUCUGGUGGUUUUUUGUUGUUUUUUUUUAAGAUGGGAGAGAAGAGAACACGUUUAAGAGCUGAGGGGAAAGAGGCGGCCAAGAGGCUGAGGUGGUGGCUCAGAAGAUGGAAGAGACAGCCAAGCCAUGAGACAAGGUCCUCCACGUUUGGCAGUGAUGGGACUCAACCGCUGCACAAUUUAGGCUUGAAAAGAACACCUUUCACCACUUAGAAGCACUGUCACUGGAGUCUGGCUGCAAGGGUUACUGACUUCCUGUGCAAGAAUGCAUUUCCAGCAGGAUAAGAAUCUCCUGCAUUGAAAUUGAGCUUCUGCAAUGUACCCCAAUAAAAUUUUUACCUAAAGAAGUUUAGAAGAAGGCAAUUGUCCCUUUAUAAAAAGCACGUGGCUAUAAAGUUUCUUCACUCCCCCAAACAGCAGUACCAAAUUUGGACAUUAUGGAAUUGUAGCACCCUUUUUAUCUCUUGAAAAUGAUAUUAAAAUGGAAGUGCUUAUGUAACUGUCCCCUUAUGGCUCAAAAGCUAUUACCUGAGAGGGGAAUUGCCAGCACUUAAUAAUCCUUAGCAGACUCCAGAUGUUUAAUUGUUCCCCCACAGCACCCCUGUAAUGUAACAGCAUAUGAGCCGCCAACAUCCCCAAUGUGCAGAAGACUAUGAGACCAACGCCGACGGGGGCAACCAAAGAAGUCAAUGCUGUGAGAAUUUAGCCCACACGUAACACUCAAGCCUAUGCCUGUACAGUGUGUGUGGGGAUGUGCACAUGUGUAUGUGUGCACGUGUGUGCCUGGAGUGCUUUUUUUUUUUUUUUUAAAGUUAAUAGAGAGGCUAGGCCCUCUAUUGCAAAGAGCAAGGGCUAUGGAGAUUGAACUGUUUUAUUUCAACUCAUUUAAGCGGCCUUGUUUCUAAGAUGGGACAACAGUAGCAGUUCUCAUAGUUUUGUUCAGAAAAUGAAAUGAGACUCAGGAUUUGGCCCAUGGCAGGGGAGAGGGGUAUCUUUCCUGUCCCUCCCUCAUCUCUGUCACAUAGGCACCAGGUAUAUAAUUAUUAUUGGCUGUUUGGGAUGGCGGGGGGAUAAUGUGCCCAGAAGACAGCUUGCUCUUUCCAGAGUAUAAUCUUGAUAGACCUCUAGGGCCCUGCCUCCAGUGGUUAGGAAGGAAAUCUCUACUGGCGUUGCUUGAGUAAUGUUUGAGUUUAAAGACAUCUGGGUGCUCACUUAGCUCAAACUCCUCAUGUUUUAAAUAACUGUGCUUAUUAGUAGCAACAGAGCCAAAACUAGUGCCCACUCUGUUGGGUUAAUUUUUCUCCCACUCAUGGUCUAGACAAACAUCUUCACUUCUAGCCCCUUCUAAAUAUUUUCUUCUGUAACUUUGAUAUUGGCACCUGUGAAAAUCAUGAAGUCACCUGAAAUUGUAAGAGUAAAUGACUCUAUUUCAAAAAUUUUAGGUUGUAAAAAUAAUAAUUUUUUAAAAUGUCAACGCUUCUUGAGGUUGUUGCUAUGUGCCAGGCAUUACAUGCAUUACACUACAUUACAUACGUGUAAUAUAUUAUAUGCAUUACAUGCGUGUUCCCAUUCAAGCCUCCCCACAAGUCAGUGCUCUAAGGACCAUUACUACCAUCACUUUACGCAUAAGAAACUGAGGCUUUGAGGGGCUCCAUGCCUCAUCUAAGGUCACACUGCUGGAAAGAGGCAGGGCUGGGACCCCACAGCCAAAGCCCCAGCUCCAUGUUGGAUUCAGAUAAUGCAGCUCCAGCCAGAAGAUAUUUUAACAUUUCCUUUUGGAGUUAGCACUGACCUUUUUCCUUUUGCUCCCAAACUUAUUUAAGGAUCUUGAAGCUAACUAAAUUACAUUUCUUAGGUGAUAACUACCACAUUCUGGGCUACUAUAACAGUUGCUAAACGGUCAGAUAAUGUAGAGCCAUAAUUUGGUGACUUAGAGGAACUGUUCUAUGGAUAAAAAUUUUAAGUACUUAAGUGUCAUUAGCAACGGCUGAGAAACGACCGUCAUUCCCUGAGCACUUUGGCACGAUACAGUUAGACAAAGAGAGAGAGGUCUUCUGAGAACACAGGUGAUGUUAAGUGCAGAAGAAAGGUGUCAGGUCCUUUCUGAAGACACAGCUACAAAGAUAGUGGGCACAGGUAAAAGCCAGAGGAUUUUACAAAUCCUUUUAGGAUUCUCUCGUCAGAUUUUGGGCUGAGCAUAUACCUGCACUAUUUGACCCUCCCCAAACCAUAUUAAUAUUCAAGGUAUACGAAAAAGAAAACAUUCAUCAAUACAGUGACUUGAGGGAAACAGAUUUCAAUAAAUUUCUAGAAGAUCUCAAACAAAUAGAAUCUUAUUGAUGGAUUAGAGCAAAAGAAGUCACUGAUCAGAAUGUACACAUGAUAAAGCAGCGCAGAGCUGGGAAAUUAUCAAGAAAAGUGUCAAGCUUGGAUUGGUUCAGGAACAGAGAUAAGGAUUGGGCUAAAUGCAAGGGGUCAGGGAAAUUAACUACAAUGACUUUCUAGGGAAGUGACCUCCCAGGUGGGGUAAGGCAGCAAGUUUGAAGAGCGUUGCCCUGGAACAACAUAAAACAAUUGUUGAAGCUAUGCACUAACUCAUUUAAGUUGAUAUAUAAAAACUUUUAUUAUAAGUUUAAAUACGGCAAAAAUAUUUCUGGUAUAUUGUGAAUGUCAGUAUUUAAAAUGAACCUGUUAAAUCAGUCAAAUUAAAUUAUCCAAUGAAGUAUCUGAAUACCCACUUGCUAAAGACAGAUUUUUGUCCCCCUAAAAUUCAUGUUGAAGCCCUAACCCCCAAUGUGAUGGUAUAUGGAGAUGGGGCCUGUGGGGCUAUUAAUUAGGUUUAAGUGAGGCCAUGAGCGUGGGGCCUACAUGAUGGGAUUAGUGUCCUUAUAGGAAGAGACACCAGAGAGCUUGCUCUCUCUCCCUCUGCUACGUGAGGACAUAAUGAGAAGGCAGGUGUCUACACGUGAGGAAGAGAGCCUUCCCCGGGGAACCAAAUUGGAUGGCACCCUGAUUUUGGACUUCCAUGACUCCAAAACUGUAAGAAAUCAAUUCCUGUUGUUCAAGCCACCCAGUCUAUACCAUUUUGUUACAGAAACCCGAGAUCACUAAGACACUACCACUAUUCAAUUAUAAACACAUAAACAGAAGGAAAUUAUGUUGUUCCUUUUUUUUUUCUGGAAAUGUUAUUUCUAUUCCAAUUCUCUGAUGAAAUUUUACCCUAAUAUGGCAUUUAUGUCUUUAUGUUGAAAGUCUUUUAUGGCUCUCUAUAACUCUAUGUACAUAUAAUUGAAUAUUAAUUUUUCAUUUCCUGUGAUCACAGGCUUCAAAUGUUAGAAGAAAUUUUAUGAGUUAUUAUUACGAUUACUACUAUGUGGGCACGACAGCAUGGUAUAAAUUUUUAAAGCUUUUUAUCUUGAAAUAAUUAAAUUGACAGGAAGUUGCAAAAAUAAUACAGAGGUCCUAUGUACUCUUCACCCAGUUUCCACCAGGGGUUAUAUCUAUAUAGCUGUAAUGAAACAUUAGAAUUAGACAAGUGACAUUGGUACUCUGUGUGUGUGUAGUUCUGUGUUAGUUGAUCCCACGUGCCUAUUUGUGUAACCACCACCACAGUCAAGGUAAAGAACUAUUGUAUCAUCCAAAGAUCUCCAAUGUGCUACCCCUUCACAGUCACACCCUUCUCUUCCCACCCAUCUCCUAACCUCUGGCAAAUACUAAUCUGUUCUUUCUGUAACUUUGCCAUUUUGUGAAUAAUAUUUAACAGGAAUUGUAUAUUAUGUGACAUUUUGAGACUGGCUGUUUUAAUUCAGCUUAAUUCCCUUGAGACACAUGUAACACAUACAAGUUGUUGCAUGUAAAUAAUCUGUCCCUUUAUUGGUGAGUAGUAUUCCACAGUAUGUGUAUACUUGUUUGUUUAACCACUCACCUAUUUAAGGCAUUUGGUUUUGGGG